AUGUUUGCCUAACAGUGAAAAUACCAUGAUCAUGAAGGUGGUUCUCUCAUGGCAAGGCUUAGCUCCAGUAUUGCAGAUUGCUCACCUCUGUGACUCCCCAAAUUCUGGAAACCCAAAUUGCAUAAUUUGUGGUAUCAGGGAACUGUGUUCACAUUCUCCCUU